rnacentral:rRNA from 1 species
AUUGAACGCUGGCGGCAUGCCUUACACAUGCAAGUCGAACGGCAGCACGGGUGCUUGCACCUGGUGGCGAGUGGCGAACGGGUGAGUAAUACAUCGGAACAUGUCCUGUAGUGGGGGAUAGCCCGGCGAAAGCCGGAUUAAUACCGCAUACGAUCUACGGAUGACAGCGGGGGACCUUCGGGCCUCGCGCUGUAGGGUUGGCCGAUGGCUGAUUAGCUAGUUGGUGGGGUAAAGGCCUACCAAGGCGACGAUCAGGAGAUGGUCGGAGAGGACGACCGGCCACACUGGGACUGAGACACGGCCCAGAGUACUACGGGAGGCAGCAGUGGGGAAUUUGGGACAAAGGGCGAAAGCCUGAUCCAGCAAUGCCGCGUGUGUGAAGAAGGCCUUCGGGUUGUAAAGCACUUUUGUCCGGAAAGAAAUCCUUGGCUCUAAUACAGUCGGGGGAUGACGGUACCGGAAGAAUAAGCACCGGCUAACUACGUG